AUGAACGCUGGCGGCGCGCCUAACACAUGCAAGUCGAACGGCACCCCUCUCCGGAGGGAAGCGAGUGGCGAACGGCUGAGUAACACGUGGAGAACCUGCCCCCUCCCCCGGGAUAGCCGCCCGAAAGGACGGGUAAUACCGGAUACCCCCGGGCGCCGCAUGGCGCCCGGGCUAAAGCCCCGACGGGAGGGGAUGGCUCCGCGGCCCAUCAGGUAGACGGCGGGGUGACGGCCCACCGUGCCGACAACGGGUAGCCGGGUUGAGAGACCGACCGGCCAGAUUGGGACUGAGACACGGCCCAGACUCCUACGGGAGGCAGCAGUGGGGAAUCUUGCGCAAUGGGGGGAACCCUGACGCAGCGACGCCGCGUGCGGGACGGAGGCCUUCGGGUCGUAAACCGCUUUCAGCAGGGAAGAGUCAAGACUGUACCUGCAGAAGAAGCCCCGGCUAACUACGUGCCAGCAGCCGCGGUAAUACGUAGGGGGCGAGCGUUAUCCGGAUUCAUUGGGCGUAAAGCGCGCGUAGGCGGCCCGGCAGGCCGGGGGUCGAAGCGGGGGGCUCAACCCCCCGAAGCCCCCGGAACCUCCGCGGCUUGGGUCCGGUAGGGGAGGGUGGAACACCCGGUGUAGCGGUGGAAUGCGCAGAUAUCGGGUGGAACACCGGUGGCGAAGGCGGCCCUCUGGGCCGAGACCGACGCUGAGGCGCGAAAGCUGGGGGAGCGAACAGGAUUAGAUACCCUGGUAGUCCCAGCCGUAAACGAUGGACGCUAGGUGUGGGGGGACGAUCCCCCCGUGCCGCAGCCAACGCAUUAAGCGGUCCGCCUGGGGAGUACGGCCGCAAGGUUGAAACUCAAAGGAAUUGACGGGGGCCCGCACAAGCAGCGGAGCAUGUGGUUUAAUUCGACGCAACGCGAAGAACCUUACCAGGUCUUGACAUCGAUCUAAAGGCUCCAGAGAUGGAGAGAUAGUUAUAGAGAAGACAGGUGGUGCAUGGUUGUCGUCAGCUCGUGUCGUGAGAUGUUGGGUUAAGUCCCGCAACGAGCGCAACCCUUAUCCUUUGUUGCCAGCGGUCCGGCCGGGAACUCAAAGGAGACUGCCAGUGAUAAACUGGAGGAAGGUGGGGAUGACGUCAAAUCAUCAUGCCCCUUAUGACCUGGGCUACACACGUACUACAAUGGCGUUUAACAAAGAGAAGCAAGACCGCGAGGUGGAGCAAAACUCAAAAACAACGUCUCAGUUCAGAUUGCAGGCUGCAACUCGCCUACAUGAAGUCGGAAUCGCUAGUAAUCGCGGAUCAGCAUGCCGCGGUGAAUACGUUCCCGGGCCUUGUACACACCGCCCGUCACACCAUGGGAGUCAGUAACGCCCGAAGUCAGUGACCUAACUGCAAAGAAGGAGCUGCCGAAGGCGGGACCGAUGACUGGGGUG
rnacentral:rRNA from 1 species